rnacentral:rRNA from 1 species
GACGAACGCUGGCGGCGUGCUUAACACAUGCAAGUCGAACGGUGAAGCGCCUUCCUUUUUGGUGGGUGUGGAUGAGUGGCGAACGGGUGAGUAACACGUGAGUAACCUGCCCCCUUCUUCUGGAUAACCGCAUGAAAGCGUGGCUAAUACGGGAUAUUCUGGGUCUGUCGCAUGAUGGGUCUGGGAAAGAUAUUGUUUCGGUGGGGGAUGGGCUCGCGGCCUAUCAGCUUGUUGGUGGGGUGAUGGCCUACCAAGGCGGUGACGGGUAGCCGGCCUGGGAGGGUGGACGGUCACACUGGGACUGAGACACGGCCCAGACUGCGACGGGAGGCAGCAGUGGGGAAUAUUGCACAAUGGGCGCAAGCCUGAUGCAGCGACGCCGCGUGAGGGAUGGAGGCCUUCGGGUUGUGAACCUCUUUCGCCAGUGAAGCAGGCCUGCCUCGUUUGUGGGUGGGUUGACGGUAGCUGGAUAAGAAGCGCCGGCUAACUACGUG